rnacentral:rRNA from 1 species
GACGAACGCUGGCGGCGUGCUUAACACAUGCAAGUCGAACGGAACUUCCCUGCUUUUGUGUGGUGCUCGAGUGGCGAACGGGUGAGUAACACGUGAGUAACCUGCCCUGGAAUUUGGGCUAACUUCAGGAAACUGAGUCUAAUACAGGAUAGGAGACCCUGCAGCAUGGUGGGGGUCGGAGAGUAUCGGCGGUUGGGGAUGGACUCGCGGCUUAUCAGCUGGUUGGGGGGGGAGUGACUUACCAAGGCUGUGACGGGUAGCCGGCCUGAGAGGGUGAACGGCGACAUUGGUACUGAGGUACGGACCAGACUCCUACGGUAGGCAACAGUGGGGAGUAUUACCCAGUGGGCGGGAGCCUGUUGCAGCGGCUCCGCGUGCGGGAUGACGGCCUGCUGGUUGUGAACCACUUUCGCAUGUACCGAAGCGUGAGUGACGGUAAUGAGUAAAAAAGCACCGGCUAACUACGUG